rnacentral:rRNA from 1 species
GGAACUCCAGGGAGACUGCCGGUGAUAAACCGGAGGAAGGUGGGGACGACGUCAAGUCAUCAUGGCCCUUACGAGUAGGGCUACACACGUGCUACAAUGGCGCAUACAGAGGGCGGCCAACUUGCGAGAGUGAGCGAAUCCCAAAAAGUGCGUCGUAGUCCGGAUUGGAGUCUGCAACUCGACUCCAUGAAGUCGGAAUCGCUAGUAAUCGUGGAUCAGAAUGCCACGGUGAAUACGUUCCCGGGCCUUGUACACACCGCCCGUCACACCAUGGGAGUGGGCUGCAAAAGAAGUAGGUAGUUUAACCUUCGGGGGGACGCUUACCACUUUGUGGUUCAUGACUGGGGUGAAGUCGUAACAAGGUAGCGCUAGGGGAACCUGGCGCUGGAUCACCUCCUUAUACGAUGAU